UUGCGCAGAGCCUGGAUGCCUUGCGAGGUCGAAUUCAACUGCUGGGCCAGCGCCUGCGCCGCAUUGAGCACGCCGGUGCGCGCCGAUUGCGAGUCGGGGCUCNGAAUCGGGACUUGUCGAGAGCGACUGAAGCGCGGUCGUGAGCGAAUUGAAUGCCGCUUCAAUCGUGGCAGACGAAUCCGGAUCACCAUAGACGCUCUGCAGGUUGUUCAGGAAAUUCGCACGCGUGCGGGUGUAGGCCGCGCCCGAGGU
rnacentral:misc_RNA from 1 species